rnacentral:rRNA from 1 species
CCGGGAGCUAAACGCGUUAAAAUCGACCGCCUGGGGAGUACGGCCGCAAGGUUAAAACUCAAAUGAAUUGACGGGGGCCCGCACAAGCGGUGGAGCAUGUGGUUUAAUUCGAUGCAACGCGAAGAACCUUAUCUACUCUUGACAUCCAGAGAAUCCUUUAGAGAUAGAGGAGUGCCUUCGGGGAGCUCUGAGACAGGUGCUGCAUGGCUGUCGUCAGCUCGUGUUGUGAAAAUGUUGGGUUAAGUCCCGCAACGAGGGCAACCCUUAUCCUUUGUUGCCAGCACAUUAUGGUGGGAACUCAAAGGAGACUGCCGGUGAUAAACCUGAGGAAGGUGGGGAUGACGUCAAGUCAUCAUGGCCCUUACGAGUAGGGCUACACACGUGCUACAAUGGCAGAUACAAAGAGAAGCGACCUCGCGAGAGCAAGCGGAACUCAUAAAGUCUGUCGUAGUCCGGAUUGGAGUCUGCAACUCGACUCCAAUGAAGUCGGAAUCGCUAGUAAUAGUAGAUCAGAAUGCUACGGUGAAUACGUUCCCGGGCCUUGUACGCACCGCCCGUCACACCAUGGGAGUGGGUUGCAAAAGAAGUAGGUAGCUUAACCUUCGGGAGGGCGCUUACCACUUUGUGAUUCAUGACUGGGGUGAAGUCGUAACAAGGUAGCCGUA